rnacentral:lncRNA from 1 species
CAGACAUCCUAUUGUGGGACCCUGUGAUUGUGAGACUUUAAUACAAAAUUACCGUGUACUUCAUCUACAAUAUGUCUUCUGCUGCUGAUCUAGAUCUGAGCUGUCCGAUACAGCUGCCAGAAGCCACAGGUGACGUUAUAUUCCUAUUCGAAGACCAAGAGCUCAAAACAUCAUUCCUCCCCCAAAUGAAAAAAUGUCUGGGAAAAAUUACUAAUCUACUUCUCUGAAACCCAUUUGGGAAGCUGGCCCAAUUCGAGUUCUAUACUCAAAAGGCAAACGUAAAGACUAAACCUGAAUGCAUGGAUGGUCCCAAAACAUAAAAUCUAUAAAUGUAAUUUUAUCUGAGGAUGGAAUGCAUCACAGCCUAAAAAGUUUGCAGCAUCCUUAAUGGGCAAACAACACUGGCAGCAUCCUGAUAGAGAGAAACGUAACAAGAAUGCCCGCUGCUCCUACAAUUUACUAUUUAACACUGUAUUGGAAAUAUCAGCCAAUACCAUUAAACAAGUGAAAGAAUGUAGAGGCAAAAAAACUUGGAAAUGAAUAAACAUAAAAACCCAAAGAGAAUCACUGACAAACUACAAACAAUUAGAGAACUCAGGAAAAUGCUGGUGUACACAUAGGGUCCCAAGUUGACGAGUAGCACCAAGCAGCCAUCUUGAAACAGUCUCCCCGGCCCUCCUCUUGAUAAUUGUCUCUGGUGAGGACUAACCACACAAUUAACUGGUUUAGAUUUUCUGAUUUUCAAAUGAUAUGUUUAUCCUCCCAACUCUGAAUAUUCUCUUCAAGACCAUGUCCUCAGAUUAUCCAACGGAAUCUUCCUGAACCAAUAUAAAGAAUAUAGUAAGCUACUUAAGCAUUUUUCCUAAGCAGCAUAUUAAAAAAAAAAAACUCGAUGGAAUUUUUGGCAUGUUUAUCAUCUGAAAGCCACCAGCUGUACUCGGUUUGUCCCCUCUCCUGUGACAGUGCUGGUCCUACCUGAGACUUUUCAACUUGUGUGAAUUGGGUCUUCCAAGCAUUAUCAAAGGAAAAGCAACUUUCCAGGGAAGGGUGGUUGUAGUAAUCAUCGUGCCUAUGUCUCUUGCAAUAAUACUUAAAAUCAGAUGGUGCUGACCCACUUAGAAACAAGGAUUAAAGAAAUCUGCUUAGAAUUGAAUUGAGUCCACCAUAGCAACUUGCCAAGAGAAAUGCAUUCCACAGAAUGCCCUUCAGAGAACCUCUCAUUAGCCAGACUGCAAACCUUUGAUUUCUUUUCAUUUAAUAUAUGACUGCCUGGAAUUCAUUUAAACAUGGAUGUGAUACAUGUUCAUAUGUAUGUUCACAGCAUAUUAGUCUAGUCUUUUAUUUUUCCUGGACAACAUACACAAGUCUUA